GAUGAACGCUGGCGGCGUGCCUAAUACAUGCAAGUCGAGCGAAUGACGAGGAGCUUGCUCCUCUGAUUUAGCGGCGGACGGGUGAGUAACACGUGGGUAACCUGCCUGUAAGACGGGGAUAACUCCGGGAAACCGGAGCUAAUACCGGAUGAUAACGAGAAGCGCCUGCUUCUUUUUUGAAAGUCGGUUUCGGCUGACGCUUACAGAUGGGCCCGCGGCGCAUUAGCUAGUUGGUGAGGUAACGGCUCACCAAGGCGACGAUGCGUAGCCGACCUGAGAGGGGGAUCGGCCACACUGGGACUGAGACACGGCCCAGACUCCUACGGGAGGCAGCAGUAGGGAAUCUUCGGCAAUGGACGAAAGUCUGACCGAGCAACGCCGCGUGAGCGAUGAGGGCCUUCGGGUCGUAAAGCUCUGUUGUCAGAGAAGAACAAGUACCGGAGUAACUGCCGGUACCUUGACGGUACCUGACCAGAAAGCCACGGCUAACUACGUGCCAGCCGCCGCCGUAAAAC
rnacentral:rRNA from 1 species